rnacentral:rRNA from 1 species
AUGAGCGGUUUCCUCGCUGUGGCCGGCAAGAUUGUCACGCUCCUGCUGUGGGUGCUCUUUCUGAUCCUGCAGACAGCCACCAAGGUUGUCGGGGGCCUCCUGCAGGUUGCACCGCCAGCCGAGCCACAAGAAGAGCCGCAACCAGAAGCAGCACCACGACCCAGAUCGCCGCCGGCUGCGAGGAACAGCGCCGGCGGCGGCCCCGCGGACCCAUACGAUCCGCGGUCACAGCCGUGGGACCCACCACCGCCCCCCCACACCGCUCCGGUGACGGAUGAGUAUCACUCGUCCUCGAUCUACCGGCGGCGGGUGAGCGCCCCGCAGGCUGCUGAGGAUUUGGUGGUUUCCUCCAGCAGUUACUCUCGUUCGGCCGUGGCAGCAGUGCCAGCCUCUCCGGCUCAUGCCGUCCCAGCGCCACCAGUGUCGCGGACAAUUAAGACACCGGCAGUUGCCAGUAAGCGGCCCAAGCUGGAGAGGAAGUACUCCAAGAUCGUGGACCAGUACCGCUCCUUGGAUGAGGUUAUUGAAGCAUUAGCGCAAGCUGGCCUCGAAUCUUCCAAUUUAAUCAUUGGAAUUGAUUUCACGAAAAGUAAUGAAUGGACAGGAAAGAGGUCAUUCAGUGGUGUGAGCCUGCAUCAUAUUGGUGAUGCCCCCAAUCCUUACGAGCAGGCAAUCUCCAUCAUUGGACAAACACUGUCAGCUUUUGAUGAGGAUAACUUAAUUCCGUGCUAUGGUUUUGGAGAUGCAUCUACACAUGACCAAGAUGUAUUUGCCUUCAAUCCUGACGAAAGACCAUGCUAUGGGUUUCAGGAGGCUUUGGCUCGAUAUAGACAAAUCGUUCCUCAUCUUCGUCUUUCCGGUCCUACAUCAUUUUCUCCAAUAAUUGAAAUGGCCACAACCAUUGUUGAGCAAAGCGGUGGCCAAUACCAUGUUUUAGUAAUAAUCGCCGAUGGACAAGUCACACGAAGUGUUAACACUAAAUUUGGUCAAUUAAGUACCCAAGAGCAGAUGACUGUAGAUGCUAUUGUGCAAGCCAGUGAAUUUCCUUUGUCUAUAAUUCUGGUCGGAGUUGGAGAUGGUCCUUGGGACAUGAUGAAUGAAUUUGAUGACAACAUUCCUGCUAGAUCUUUUGACAAUUUCCAGUUUGUCAACUUCACUGGAAUCAUGUCAAAAAAGAUCAGUCAAAGCAUCAAGGAGACAGAGUUUGCCCUUUCAGCACUCAUGGAAAUACCUUUGCAGUACAAAGCAACAUUACAGCUUGGAAUACUGGGGCGUCGACUUGCAAAGUCUCCAGAGCGAGUUCCACUUCCUCCUCCUUUUGCAAGUUAUAAUACCACCUCAAGAGCAGCACCAUCUUGGGAAAAUAACUUCCGAAGUGUGCCUUCUAAUCUUAGGGAGGAGGCAACUUUAGAUUCAACAAUCACACCGUCAGUUACACCCCCACCAGCUGCAGAUGCUAGAGCAUCAGAACUCCAAGUUCUGCCUCCGAGGAGUACCGUGAUUACCCUAACGAAGAACCGUAUCCGUGCAUCGAACCAUCAGUUCUGCCCAGUUUGCCUUGCCAAACCCCGGGACAUGGCAUUUGGUUGUGGUCAUCAGACUUGUUCAGGGUGUGGACCGCAGGUCGCGGAUUGCCCCAUCUGUCGAAGGCCAAUUGAUACAAGAGUAAAACUAUACUAA